ACGGAAGGCAGCAGUGGGGAAUAUUGCACAAUGGGGGAAACCCUGAUGCAGCGAUGCCGCGUGGAGGAAGAAGGUUUUCGGAUUGUAAACUCCUGUCUUAAGGGACGAUAAUGACGGUACCUUAGGAGGAAGCUCCGGCUAACUACGUGCCAGCAGCCGCGGUACUACGUAGGGAGCGAGCGUUGUCCGGAAUUACUGGGUGUAAAGGGAGCGUAGGCGGGAUGGUAAGUCAGAUGUGAAAUCUAUGGGCUCAACCCAUAGACUGCAUUUGAAACUGCUGUUCUUGAGUGAAGUAGAGGUAAGCGGAAUUCCUAGUGUAGCGGUGAAAUGCGUAGAUAUUAGGAGGAACAUCGGUGGCGAAGGCGGCUUACUGGGCUUUUACUGACGCUGAGGCUCGAAAGCGUGGGGAGCAAACAGGAUUAGAUACCCUGGUA
rnacentral:rRNA from 1 species